UCUCUGUCAUGUGUCCUAUCUUUGGUGGAGUCAUCUGGUUGUGGGCGUUUCUCUGUUUCCAUGUCUUCCCUCCCUCUCCCUGUUCACCUGACAGCUGACCGGCAGACAGUCUGAGCAUCACUCGGUGCGCCCAGGCAGGCAGACAGACAGACAGACAGACAGACAGACAGACAGGCAGACAGGCAGACGGGGACGCAUGAAACCCAGCAGUCCGCCUGGUACGGUGCUCUGUCCGGGGACGAAGGCUCUGUGCUCUGCGGCAGCGCGGCUCGCUCUGGAGGCUUUUCCCCUCCGCGUCUGACAAGCGACCAUGAGCGGAAGGGUUGGCGACCUCAGCCCCAAGCAGGCUGAGGUGCUGCAGCAGGAUGUGGACGGAUGAGGGUGUGAGGAGGUUUACCAGCUGAAAGGCGGCAUUCAGAAAUACCUGGAGCGUUUCCCAGAGGGAUUCUACCGAGGGAAGCUGUUUGUCUUCGACGAGCACUACACGAUUUCCUCCAACGACGACGUCAUCUCAGGUUCAGACUGCAGGUACUGCGGCGCGCCGUGGGACCAGUACCAGCUCCGCUCCACACACUUCUGCUGCCAGCUGGUCCUGUCCUGUCCCGUCUGCAGACAGGACGGACGCACCGCCUGCUGCCCCACCUGCCAAACCAAAGGACGGGCUCAGAGCGACGAGUCGACCCCCGCUCCGCCGCACAGGGAGGAGUGUGAGUGCACCGUCCAGCAUCCCAGAAUCCCGAUGACGCUGGCAGCUACCAGACGAUCACUGCCUGUUUUGGAGUAACAACCCGGGACAUACAGACAGAAGUUUGGUCUGUUGAGUAGAAAACAAGCACAGGGUGCGCUCUGUGUUUUAAACUUGUUCUCGUCUUUUUCCUGGAGGCUGGAAAUGAACACGGAUAUUUAUUUGAACAGUAUUUGUAAGUUCUCUUACAAACUGAUUGCUGGCCUCAAAGUUAAACACAUUUCUGAUCACUACUGAAGUUCUGUAUUUAUUGUAAAAUAUUAACAAAAUAGUUAUGUCGCUAAAAAUGGAAUCAUGCUAGUUUAUGAAAUAUUGACAGAUUAAUUUCAAGCCAGAUUUUUCCAAAACAAACACAUUUUUUUUAAGCGGGCCCCUUGGUUUGUCUUUUAUGUGAUGAUGUGUCAGCUCCAUGAAUUGUAUUUUUACUGAAACUGGAGCGCCUCAACAGCAGCGACAGCACAGUUCAAAGUGAAAAUGUGUAUUUUUGCCUUUAACUUUCUGUUUGUUUUCUUUAUUUGCACAAAUGAAAAUAUUGGGGGCGAGAAAAAAGGAUUUGCAGAUUGGAUACAGCAAAAUGCUUACAAAGACAUCUCACUUCAGAAAUAUAAAAGGAUGAAAACUGCACACGGAGAAGAACAGUGCCCAAACAAAUUACAUUAACACUAUUUCAGGAAAAUGAAAUAUGUUGUAACAUUACAUCAUAAUCAGCCAUCAGGUCUUAUCUAUUUUAACCUUUUAGAGUGCCUGGGUGUAUGGAAAUGUUUUAAAAUACCGGAAAAUGAAUUUUAACAACAUUAUGGUCUACAUAAAUAUUGAAAAAAACACAAAAUAUCAAGAUUGUUUGGGAGAAAAGACUAGAAAUUCACCUCUGCUCUGUCAAUUAUGCAGAUGAUGCAGAGAGACAACCACACAAGAGUAUUUAAUUCAAACUGUAAGAAGUCUGCUUUUAUUUUUGUUUUCAACUUAUACUGAUGAGCAGCAGAAAGGUUUAUUCUUGUUUUGACAAGUUUAAUAUUGAUUACAGUUCUUGGUAACUGCUAAUGAUGAGACAGAUAAUUCAACAGGGGAUUUAGGUAAAGUCUGAUCAUUUAAUAUAAUGCAUUUUCCAACAACUGCAGAAAUAACAGCAAGCCAAGAACAUGCAGACUUGAUACCGCUGUCUUUGUGUCGUUAUGAAUUUGCUCAUUAAAGUGAUCAUUUUCCUUCGGUG